rnacentral:lncRNA from 1 species
AUAACCAUGUAACUUACGCGUAUUAUCUCGUAAAGUAAAGAUCUAGUUCACUAAUACUAAUAACUUAUUGGAUCUAAACCAUUGGCCUAAAAAUACUUUAGCCUAAUUAUUGUGGUUUAGACUUUGAAAUUCUCUUCGUGUCCUAUUUAUAGUUAUUUUUUUUUCUAACCUAAAACCAUCACGUGAUGUGAUAUUUGUAUUUAAAUCUUGACGUCCUCAUCAAAUUUUUAUUCUCUUGUCAUUUUCUAGUUCAAAAUCAUCAGGUAAUGUAAGAACUAUUUCGCACUUUGACUAUAACUAGUAAAAUUUUUUAUAUCAAAUGUAACAAUCCAGUGGACUAGUAAUAAUAACUCGUUCGAUCCAAACCAACCUUCUUGUCAGGUCCCAUCUAUAGUUAUUUCUUAACCCAAGAUCAUCACGCCGUGAGAUCCGUAUGUAGACCCUAACAUCUUGGUCGGGUUCUGUUCCUUAUCAUUUUCUAGCUCAAGAUUAUCAGGCAAUGUAAUAACUAUUUUGCUGGAACUGAUAAAUUUGCUUUGAUAUCAAAUGUAACAAUCCAGUGGGAUUAGCAAUAGUAACUCGUUAGUCCUAAACAAGUAGCUCAAAAUUAUUUUUGUCUAAUUAUUAUUACUAGCAUUCUUAAUCCUUCUAUUUCCAAUCAUAUCCUUUUUCCUAUUUGAUAUAGGACGAUAUCACAUCUAUGGUU